GUAGGUGGCAAGCGUUGUCCGGAAUUAUUGGGCGUAAAGCGCGCGCAGGCGGUUCUUUAAGUCUGAUGUGAAAGCCCACGGCUCAACCGUGGAGGGUCAUUGGAAACUGGAGAACUUGAGUACAGAAGAGGAAAGCGGAAUUCCACGUGUAGCGGUGAAAUGCGUUGAGAUGUGGAGGAACACCAGUGGCGAAGGCGGCUUUCUGGUCUGUAACUGACGCUGAGGCGCGAAAGCGUGGGGAGCAAACAGGAUUAGGUACCCUGGUAGUCCACGCCGUAAACGAUGAGUGCUAAGUGUUAGGGGGUUUCCGCCCCCUUAGUGCUGCAGCUAACGCAUUAAGCACUCCGCCUGGGGAUACGGCCGCAAGGCUG
rnacentral:rRNA from 1 species